CCAAGAUUGGAGACCAAAAUAGUUUAACUCCCAUUCAUUUGUUGCUUCUUCUGGAUGGCUAAUAGUUGUUGAAAGAACCCUUUCAAAAACUUUCGUAAAAAGGUGCACUUCUUCCAUCCUCUCGAAGCCAAAAGUUUCAAAUAAUAAACCAAACAGCUGCAUACUUACACGGACCAAAUUUUUCCCGGCUUUCUCAACUGAAGUCCAAUGACUCAACAACUGUCGAAUCAAAUUAAAAUUCUCAUUGUCAGCACGUUGAUAUACGAGCUUUAUUAAUUCUGCAGACAUCUCUCUACAAUGAGGUUCUGAGUCAUUAGCUAGCACCAUAACUAGAGCAAUAAAUAUUCCUUGAUGAUACUCUUUCAAUAAAGCAUCACUAAAAUUAUUCAAGAUAAGAUGCAAGAGCUCCAUUACAGAUUCGCGUCCGGGUGCGAAUUCAUAUUCCAAGUUCUUAAGAAUAAAUGAUAUUUGCUUGGAUAGUCGAGUUUUACCCUGGGGAUAAUCAAGAAGAAAUGAAUAAUACAAAUGACGACAAGUUUGACGAGUGGAUUUAGUAUGAUUUGUCACCAUCAUAUCUCGUAUUAAAUCAAUUAUUUUGUACAGUUCAGGAGUCAUGAUUUUGCGAGCAAUAACCGCUCUAACCAACGAAAACAUAACACCUUGACGAUCAGGUUCUUGAAUAUCAGUUCCAACCCUUUCCAGUAAAUAGUUUAUAGUCGAUUCCUUAAUCUUUACAUUUUCAUAAGGUAAAAUAGAUGCUAAAAACUUAAAACUUGCUUGACAUAAUUCUGUGUUUGUAGAAGGCGAAUUCUGUAUAUAUUUCACAGCCUGAGACGUGAAGACUGAACUACCCGAAAAAACCUGA